rnacentral:rRNA from 1 species
GUCCGGAAUCCCGAAGAGAUUUGGGAGUGCUCGCAAGAGAACCGGAACACAGGUGCUGCAUGGCUGUCGUCAGCUCGUGUCGUGAGAUGUUGGGUUAAGUCCCGCAACGAGCGCAACCCUUGUCAUUAGUUGCCAUCAUUUGGUUGGGCACUCUAAUGAGACUGCCGGUGACAAACCGGAGGAAGGUGGGGAUGACGUCAAGUCCUCAUGGCCCUUAUGGGUAGGGCUUCACACGUCAUACAAUGGUCGGUACAGAGGGUUGCCAACCCGCGAGGGGGAGCUAAUCCCACAAAGCCGAUCGUAGUCCGGAUCGCAGUCUGCAACUCGACUGCGUGAAGUCGGAAUCGCUAGUAAUCGUGGAUCAGCAUGUCACGGUGAAUACGUUCCCGGGUCUU